rnacentral:rRNA from 1 species
CCUACGCGUGGCAGCAGUGAGGAAUAUUGGUCAAUGGGCGCGAGCCUGAACCAGCCAAGUAGCGUGAAGGAUGACUGCCCUACGGGUUGUAAACUUCCUUUAUAAAGGAAUAACGUGAGGCACGCUUGCGUUUUUGUAUGUACUUUAUGAAUAAGGAUAGGCGAACUCCGUGCUAGCAGCCGCGGUAAUACGGAGGAUCCGAGCGUUAUCCGGAUUUACUGGGUUUAAAGGGAGCGUAGAUGGGUGGUUAAGUCAGUGGUGAAAGUUUGCGGCUCAACCGUAAAAUUGCAAUUGAUACUGGCAGUCUUGAGUACAGUUGAGGUAGGCGGAAUUCGUGGUGUAGCGGUGAAAUGCUUAGAUAUCACGAAGAACUCCGAUUGCGAAGGCAGCUUACUAAACUGCCACUGACAUUGAUGCUCGAAAGUGUGGGUAUCAAACAGGAUUAGAGACCCCGGUAGUC